GCCCGCUCAGAAACUCAAAGGAAUUGACGGGGCCCGCACAAGCGGAGGAGCAUGUGGUUUAAUUCGAUGAUACGCGAGGAACCUUACCUGGGCUCGAACGUAAGAUGACUGUAGGUGAAAGCUUACAUCUCUUCGGAGCAUUUUACGAGGUGCUGCAUGGUUGUCGUCAGCUCGUGCCGUGAGGUGUCGGGUUAAGUCCCAUAACGAGCGCAACCCUACCUUUAGUUGCCAUCAGGUAAUGCUGGGGACUCUAAAGGAACUGCCUACGCAAGUAGUGAGGAAGGCGGGGAUGACGUCAAAUCAGCACGGUCCUUACGUCCAGGGCUACACACGUGCUACAAUGGCCGAUACAGAGGGCAGCUACCUGGUGACAGGAUGCAAAUCUCCAAAGUCGGUCUCAGUUCGGAUCGGAGUCUGCAACCCGACUCCGUGAAGUUGGAUUCGCUAGUAAUCGCGCAUCAGCCAUGGCGCGGUGAAUACGUUCCCGGGCCUU
rnacentral:rRNA from 1 species